rnacentral:piRNA from 1 species
UCUUGUUUAAGGUUUGCUAUGGCUCACAUA